CCUACGGGAGACAGCAGUGAGGAAUAUUGGUCAAUGGACGAGAGUCUGAACCAGCCAAGCAGCGUGAAGGAUGACUGCCCUAUGGGUUGUAAACUUCUUUUAUAAAGGAAUAAACCGAGGCACGAGUACCUGUUUGCAUGUAUUUUAUGAAUAAGGAUCGGCUAACUCCGUGCCAGCAGCCGCGGUAAUACGGAGGAUUCAAGCGUUAUCCGGAUUUAUUGGGUUUAAAGUGAGCGUAGAUGGGUUGUUAAGUCAGUGGUGAAAGUUUGCGGCUCAACAGUAAAAUUGCAAUUGAUACGGGCAGUCUUGAGUACAGUUGAGGUAGGCGGAAUUCGUGGUGUAGCGGGGAAAUGCUUAGAGAUCACGCAGAACCCCGAUUGCGAAGGCAGCUUACUAAACUGUGACUGACAUUGAGGCUCGAAAGUGUGGGUAUCAAACAGGAUUAGAUACCCUUGUAGUC
rnacentral:rRNA from 1 species